rnacentral:tRNA from 1 species
GGGUUUGUAGCUUAGAUGGCAAAGCGUCCGGUAUGGGCCGGAAGACACGGGUUCGAUCACCGUCAGACCCG